AAGCGCUUGCAACCAGACUUGCACGCGGUUGAUCAUCCGGUGUUCUCACCGGUGCACUCGACCGUGUUCAGGCCAGCAUCGGUUCAGGUGGUGGGAUAAAGGCUUUGGGAACGUAGCUCCUCGGAGUGUUAUAGCCCUUUGCACAAUACCCUGGGCCGGACUGAGGACCGCGCAUCUGCAAGGAUGCUGGCGUAAUGGUCAUCAGCGA
rnacentral:rRNA from 1 species